rnacentral:rRNA from 1 species
GACGAACGCUGGCGGCGUGCCUAAUACGUGCAAGUCGAGCGGAAGUUGGAGAGCUUGCUCUUCAACUUUAGCGGCGGACGGGUGAGUAACACGUGGGCAACCUGCCCUGCAGAUCGGGAUAACUCCGGGAAACCGGUGCUAAUACCGAAUAGUUUUCGCCACCUCCUGGUGGCGUACGGAAAGACGGUUUCGGCUGUCACUGCAGGAUGGGCCCGCGGCGCAUUAGCUAGUUGGUGGGGUAACGGCCCACCAAGGCGACGAUGCGUAGCCGACGUGGGAGGGGGGUCGGCCACACUGGGACUGAGAAACGGCCCGGAAUCCUACGGGAGGCAGCAGUAGGGAAUCUUCCGCAAUGGGCGAAAGUCUGACGGAGCAACGCCGCGUGAGUGACGAAGGUUUUCGGAUCGUAAAACUCUGUUGUGAGGGAAGAACAAGUACCAACUAACUACUGGUACCUUGACGGUACCUCACCAGAAAGCCACGGCUAACUACGUGCCAGCAGCCGCCGUAAAAC